rnacentral:rRNA from 1 species
UGGGGAAUAUUGGACAAUGGGGGCAACCCUGAUCCAGCAAUGCCGCGUGUGUGAAGAAGGCCUUCGGAUUGUAAAGCACUUUCGACGGGGACGAUGAUGACGGUACCCGUAGAAGAAGCCCCGGCUAACUUCGUGCCAGCAGCCGCGGUAAUACGAAGGGGGCUAGCGUUGCUCGGAAUGACUGGGCGUAAAGGGCGUGUAGGCGGUUUACACAGUCAGAUGUGAAAUCCCCGGGCUU